GACAGCUUGCUGACAGGACAUGCAGAAUGUGAGAGAGCCAUGGGGAAUUGUCUCCCAACACAUCUACACUGGGAAUAAGUGUGGGGAGGAGUCCCGUUGCCUUCAUCUCAAGUUACUGGAGGCAACCAAUGUUUACAAAAAAGAGCAUGACGAUUGUGGCCAGCCAAACUGACCCAGCACCUCUGUGCUCCCUGAGCAAAGUCCAUGGAAGUCUCCCGGUAGAAGUGGUGUGACUACUUGGCUGGGAGCUCUCGGUUCUUCCCCCUACCCAGAGCUUUCAAAAGUUCAACUGAAUUUAUUCAAUCUAAUUCAACCAGCAUUUCAGCAUUAGAGGCACCUACCUGGGGAGGUUGAGGCAAGGAGAGGAAGGGUGAAAAACCAAGAAGAAGGCUCGGCUCCAGCACUCGCCAUGCUUCACUUUUCAUGAAGGCCCGUCCUUUGCAUCUUGGCACAUUCCCACUGGUCCUUCCAGAGGAAAGUUCUCAGGGAUGAGGUCACAGCCUUUGGGAAGGCUCCUAUUUGCUGAUGGUUCCAGUCGCUUCUGCCAGCACGUCUUCACUCUUCACAGGCAUUGUGGUUUAACAACAAUUUUAUUCUAUCACUCAACUCAGAGAAGGGUUUUGUGUGACAAUACAUUCUGCAUGAAUCACGUUUUGGGCCCAUUAAAAAUGACUGCAAUCACUAAAGCUCUCUU